AGCAGCCGCGGUAAUUCCAGCUCCAAUAGCGUAUAUUAAAGUUGUUGCAGUUAAAAAGCUCGUAGUUGAAUUUCGGGGUUAGUAGGUCGGUCAUGCCUCAGGUAUGCACUGGUCUCACUGAUUCCUCCUUCCUGAUGAGCCGUAAUGCCAUUAAUUUGGUGUUGCGGGGAAUCUGGACUGUUACUUUAGAAAAAAUUAGAGUGUUUAAAGCAGGCUAACGCUUGAAUACAUUAGCAUGGAAUAAUGGAAUAGGACGUUCGAUCCUAUUUUGUUGGUUUCUAGGAUUGACGUAAUGAUUAAUAGGGAUAGUUGGGGGCAUUAGUAUUCAAUUGUCAGAGGUGAAAUUCUUGGAUUUAUUGAAGACUAACUACUGCGAAAGCAAUUUGCCAAGGAUGUUUUCAUUAAUCAAGAACGAAAGUUAGGGGAUCGAAGACGAUCAGAUACCGUCGUAGUCUUAACCAUAAACUAUGCCGACUAGGGAUCGGAUGAUGUUUAAUUUUUUAAAUAGUACUACAUUCGG
rnacentral:rRNA from 1 species